CUCUCCUUUCUUUUUUCCCUUUUUUUCUUUCCCUCCCUCUCUUUUUCUCUCUUUCCCUCUCUCUCUCCCUCUCUUUCCAUCUCCCAACUAUAACUGUGAAACAUAUCUUAUAAGCAUUUUUAAUGACAUACUCUUUGAUAUUUAAAUCACAUAUCUGUGUCCAACUUAUUAGGGUAUAUGAUAUGAUUUUCCCAAGCCAAAUUUUUGUUCCCAAAUUGCUUUCCAUGUCUUCCUGACUCCACGUCCAACAUUAUGUCUAUUCACUACAACAUCUUGCCCCUUCUAAUAACUAGCAUUUAAAUAGCACUUUAAGGUUUGUAAAGUCCUUGAUUCCUGCAUCAUUUAGUGAGACUGAGUAAAGGUAUAGUUUGCAUUAUUGUAGUCUGAGAACCAUCAUUUGUCAUUGCUUAUCUUCCUAAUACCCAGCUCAGUCAUUUCUGCCUCCAAGAAGCCUUUCCUGAUUCCACAGAUUAGAAGAGAUUCCUCUCUCCACAGUCUCUCAUUUCAUUGCUUGACCUCCCCUAUCCAUUUAACAUAUUGUAACAUAAUUCUCUAUCUCUGUCUUCAUUUCUCUUUGACUCUGUCUGUCUGUCUGGGUCUCUGAAUCUACCUGCCAAUGUUUCUCUCUCUGUCUCUUCCUCUUACUAGGUCUCUGUCUCUGUCUGUCUGUCUCCCCUUCCCUGUGUGUCUCUGUCUCUCCCCCUCUACUAUGUCUUCCAUUGCUGAAAGCCAAGCCUUCCUAUAGAAAGCACCCAAUACAUGUUUGUUUUCUUGAAACUGAAUGCUUUGGAUGAGCAGCUCACCUUUUCAAUAACUGAGUGUCUUCCCCCUCCCCCCUGUGACCCUAUGAUCUGGUUUCUAUGCUGUUUAUUCUUUCAGCUCCAGUUAAUUACAGCCAGUCACAAACCAGAGGCCACUUUAUCAUUAAGCACAGACAGGAUGGAGAGACCACAAUGAAUAGACUGAAGAAUAACCCAUGGCACCAGACACCACCAAUUUAAGGUUUCUUCAGAGACUGUCCCUAAUACUGCCUUGUACAACCACUGUACUUUAUCUUGAGCCUCACUUUUCCCUUCACAAUAGCUUUUUACUCCAGCACAUCACUUUUUUAACAAGACUGCUUCCAGUCCAGAGUCCAUCUGCAGAUAUCUUUCAUAUUUUCUACUUCCAGAUAUUGUUCUAGAGCUCCAUCUACUUGAUGACAGUAACCAAGGCUUGUCAUCUGACCCACCCCUAUCCAAUGGGCUUCUGCCAUUUCACAAUAUUGAGUUGACUUAAUAUGUUUUUUGAACUUUCACUUUUUGAUAGAACACUGAAUAUAGUCAUGCUGUAGGGGAUCUCCUCUGGAUGCCAAGGAAAUGGACCAGAAAGCCUGAUGACUUGAGAGAAGACUUCCUGGGAGGUUCAUGGAGUCUGCUAGAGGAGGAGAAUCAAUACCACAUCAAGUCUAUGAACCUGUUUUGGAGUUACAGAACCCACAAAUAUUUGGAGUGUAACAAAUUUCCAACAGAAAAUAUUUUGGAAAAGCUUCAAUCAAUGUCUAUUUCAAAAAAGAUUCACUUGAAAUGAGGUGAGGAAGAGACAAAACCAAUGGAUCCUCAGGUGGCAUAUAUGAUAAGGAACAUCACUGGCUUUUGGAUAAUAUCACACAUAUAUUGUUCAUUCAUGUUUUUUGAAAUGAAGCAAAAUCUUCAGAAAAAUGCUUUUAUGUGGCAUGUGCAUGGGAUCCUGUCAGUGACUUAUUCAAUGGAAGUGGGUGUUUGCAUUUGUUAUUUUUGGACAAAGCACAGUUGUCCAGGAUUUAUUCUCAAGGAGGAUUGGGUGAACUGGUGUUCUUGGAUCCUCAUUUUGACCUUCUACAUACUCAUAAUAAUGAUUAUUUUGAGAUUUUUCUCUAAUUAUUUUUCCUCUUUUUUUAUGAUACUGCUCUUUUCAGUGAAUUUCGCCAAUAUUGAGGGCAUUAUAUUUUCGAUGCCUAUAUUUAGGUUAUUUUUUGUGUGGUUUCUUCCCCUUAUUCUUUCAAAAAUGCGCUAUGCUGCUAGGAUAUAGGGGGCCCUGUCUCAACCUUUCUGUGCAGUUCUGAACUUUGGCUUUGAGCACAAAGGCCCCUUGGAUUUGCAGGGGGAAACUGACUGUGCUAUUCAGCAAACAGCCUAUUUCCCAGAGUUUGCCUUCUGAGCUGGAAUUGGAAGCUGCCCCACUGAUUUGUUCUUAGACUGAGUCAGGGCUGAGGGUCUUCAAUGUGAUUUGCUUUCAUUAAGACCCUCUCACCAAAUUUUCCCAGUCUAUCUGAGCUGGCCUGAACACACUUUUCACUCCAAUGAGACUGACAUUUCUUGAACUUUUUUCCAGUCUAUGUUGAGCUGAAAAUUAAGUAAAUUCCAUUAGACUCUAUUCAGAGACUUGGUUUCAUGUGAUUUUCCAGGGAAACUGGGAGAACUGGAGCAGCUCCCUGACUUUAUUCCACCAUCUUGGCUCCACCUCAGAAGUCUUUUUUUCCUCUUCUUAUUUAAAGUUUGAGUUCCAAAUUCUGUCCCUCUCUCCCUGUUCUUCCCUCCCCAAGAUUGUAAGCAGUCAGAUAUAGUUUAUACAUGUGAAACUAUGUAAGACACUUCGAUAUUAGUCAUUUUGUAUAAGAAAACUCAAAUGAAAGAAAAAAAAGCAAUAAAGAGAUAAAUACCAUGUUUCACCCUGAA